UGGCUGUAGCUCCUCUGAUGAGAGCAUAGUUCCGAAAAGUUUGCUGGAUGAAAAAGACGCAACCAUUGCAGCCCUGAAGAAGAAGCUUCACGAGGCGCGAAACCUCAAUGAACGCUUGACUGUGGCCUUGUUGGACAAAAUAGGUAAGUGGUAAAAGGUAAAAUCCAACCUUUGGGACCUGUAGAACCAGACCAAAAACCAAGAUGCAACCAACAAUUAACUGAGAUGACUUGGGUGAUCGGAGUUAUCAACCUACUAAUCUCACUGAGAUUGCACGGGAGCAAAUGCACCAGACACUACAAACGCCACCUCACAGUGCUACCCACGCAGGCACAUCACAGGGAAUAACUGAGCCUCUUCUAGGACACAGUCCUGAAAAUGGAGUUGCAGAACUGCUUGUGCCUAGAAAGUGUUUUUUCUUUUAUUGAGUGUGUGCUGUAGAUGAGAGGUUUCACACAAAGUUGUUUUGUCAUCACUUUUACUUUAGGUGAACUGCUGUGGCAAUAUUGUCUAACUAUGGGGUACUUUUCAGAAUCACAAAAGAUCGCAGCUGUUCCGAUUAACCUGCAGACUGUGAUAGCAGACUACCAGGAGCCUGACUGGUUUGAUACCGAGGGAUCAGGGCCACAUUCUGACGCUGAGAUGGCAGACAUACCUCAAGAGAACCGCUUACUUGGCAACAUGGUAUCAGCCCCCAAGACAGCUCUGAAGCCUCAGUCAACUGACAAUCUAAUACCUGUGACACAGUGCGCGCCAACUAGGGAAGCCGAGGUGCC